AUGGAUCACAGAGAAGAGGAGGAAAUGUCGCUGUCCUUAUUCCACUGAAAAGGGAUCAGGAGUAAAAUCUUAGCUCUGUAAAGACCAGUGGAAAAAAUCCCAGACUUCAGGAGAAUCAGGAUUUUAUCCUAAAUCCUUUUAUUUUCCUGACACCCUUGGAUUAAUCAUCAUCAUCAUCAGUCCUGUGGUGGCUGUUAAUCCCUGCUCUGUGGAGUGAUAAAAAUCUUCCUGCCUGGGUAAGCAUCAAAAAGUCUUUGUCCCUUUUCCUGCACUUUAUCCUGUGGCAAACUCCUG
rnacentral:lncRNA from 1 species